AUCUCAUGUUUCUAACCAAGCCUUCUUUCUGAUGAGAUGUGGAACGAGAAAGAAUAGCUGUGAAGCUGAAUAUGAUAGAAACACUUAAGUACAGCUGAAUGGAUAUUCUAACUCCAGCUAUAACCUGCCAAAGUAAAGCAAGAUCCAGAUAUGUUAUUUUUGAAAUGAAAAAAAGUAUCCUGAUUAAAUUGCAAACCAGAAUGCAUUGACAGAGCAAUUUUACACAUCAAGUGUGCAAAUCAAACUAUAAUGACCACUACUCACAUAUCAUUUGUGUGCCAAUCCCAUAUUUACAAAAGGCUUGUAGGUGGAAAGGGCUCUAUAAUCCAAAAUUGUCACUGUCACUGCACAAAAAAUGCAGACCCACAGAACAAGAGAAGAAACACAGGGAUAUAUGUGAAAGAGUAUAAGACACACCGGACUAUAAGAUGCACCUACCUUCUUUGGUGACAAAAAGAAGAAAAAGAAAUCUGCCUCUGCCUCUGAACAAUUUUGCCUCAUUGCAGCAAACAGCAAACAGGAAAUAUAAUAUUCCGCCUUUUUAAUAUUUCCUUGAACAUUCUUCGAAGAGGGCUGGGUGCUAUCUUUCUUCACUGAGAUGCCCAUCAAUCAUGAAAUAUGAAUUGUACU